AAGUCGAACGGUAGCACAGAGAGCUUGCUCUCGGGUGACGAGUGGCGGACGGGUGAGUAAUGUCUGGGAAACUGCCUGAUGGAGGGGGAUAACUACUGGAAACGGUAGCUAAUACCGCAUAACGUCGCAAGACCAAAGAGGGGGACCUUCGGGCCUCUUGCCAUCAGAUGUGCCCAGAUGGGAUUAGCUAGUAGGUGGGGUAACGGCUCACCUAGGCGACGAUCCCUAGCUGGUCUGAGAGGAUGACCAGCCACACUGGAACUGAGACACGGUCCAGACUCCUACGGGAGGCAGCAGUGGGGAAUAUUGCACAAUGGGCGCAAGCCUGAUGCAGCCAUGCCGCGUGUAUGAAGAAGGCCUUCGGGUUGUAAAGUACUUUCAGCGGGGAGGAAGGUGUUGCGGUUAAUAACCGCAGCAAUUGACGUUACCCGCAGAAGAAGCACCGGCUAACUCCGUGCCAGCAGCCGCGGUAAUACGGAGGGUGCAAGCGUUAAUCGGAAUUACUGGGCGUAAAGCGCACGCAGGCGGUCUGUCAAGUCGGAUGUGAAAUCCCCGGGCUCAACCUGGGAACUGCAUUCGAAACUGGCAGGCUAGAGUCUUGUAGAGGGGGGUAGAAUUCCAGGUGUAGCGGUGAAAUGCGUAGAGAUCUGGAGGAAUACCGGUGGCGAAGGCGGCCCCCUGGACAAAGACUGACGCUCAGGUGCGAAAGCGUGGGGAGCAAACAGG
rnacentral:rRNA from 1 species